rnacentral:rRNA from 1 species
UACAGAGGGUGCGAGCGUUGUCCGGAAUCACUGGGCGUAAAGGGCGCGUAGGCGGCUUGAUAAGCGUGCGGUGAAAGCCCGGGGCUCAACCCCGAGCGGUCGUGAGAAACUGGCAGGCUAGAGUGCGGGAGAGGAGAGUGGAAUUCCUGGUGUAGCGGUGAAAUGCGCAGAUAUCAGGAAGAACACCCGGUGGCGAAGGCGGCUCUCUGGAA